rnacentral:lncRNA from 1 species
UCUUAAGUUUGUUUAGUCUGAACUGUAAUUUAAAUGUAAAAUUUUCUGUCUGGAGGUGGGAAAUCGAAUCCAUCUCUCCUCUCAGGCCCAUUGAUAUGCUAUGAUAUAUUUAUAAUUUGCACAUCUUCCUGUUAUAUUUAAUAUGGCCUUUCCUCUGGGGAUUCAUAAUAACCGCAGGGUCAUUUUUGAGUCGAGGUUAAGUUGGUCAAGAGGCCAUUGCAAUGAAAUAAGAGAACAAUAGAACGAUAGUAGGCUGAUGGUAAUGAUGGCAGAACUGUUGAUCAAUGCUGAGCAGGAGGAAGGGAGGAUCGCAGGACUCUCACCUGUGAUCCGGAAGUCUCUCUUUUCUGCUUCUUCCCAGUUGCAAGAGCUCUCUGGAGGUGGUCCGCUACAGAGAAAGUGGAAUGAUAGCUGCAAAGAGGACUCUCAGGGAGGACUCUGUGAUGGGCCAUCAUCCAAACCGGUGGAUCUGUGGUGAUGCAGCUUUUGGGAUCUGCCAAUUGCAGUAAGUAAACUUUGACCCAUGCCCUGUAAGCCUAGACACUGAGAUUUGUCACAGGUGUCCUCGAUGGGGUGAGACCUUGUUCCUGUCUCCCCAGAAGAGUGAACACAACACUGGCUGCUUUGCUCUUUGCUGGUUGUAUGGUUGCCUUCUCAUCUCUUCAUACCGCUUUUGAGGAG